rnacentral:rRNA from 1 species
UGCAAGUCGAACGGGGUUCCAAGGAGUGCUUGCACUCCUGAAGACCUAGUGGCGAACGGGUGAGUAACACGUGAGAAACCUGCCCCAGACUCUGGGAUAACCCAAGGAAACUUGAGCUAAUACCGGAUAUUCUCCUUUGGUCGCAUGGCCAGUUGAGGAAAGUUUUUCGGUCUGGGAGGGUCUCGCGGCCUAUCAGCUAGUUGGCGGGGUAACGGCCCACCAAGGCUACGACGGGUAGCUGGUUUGAGAGAACGAUCAGCCACACUGGAACUGAGACACGGUCCAGACUCCUACGGGAGGCAGCAGUGGGGAAUCUUGCGCAAUGGGCGAAAGCCUGACGCAGCAACGCCGCGUGCGGGAUGAAGGCCUUCGGGUUGUAAACCGCUUUCAGCAGGGACGAAAAUGACGGUACCUGCAGAAGAAGCUCCGGCUAACUACGUGCCAGCAGCCGCGGUAAUACGUAGGGAGCAAGCGUUGUCCGGAUUUAUUGGGCGUAAAGAGCUCGUAGGCGGUUCCGUAAGUCGAGUGUGAAAAAUCUGGGCUCAACCCAGUGAAGCACUCGAUACUGCGGUGACUAGAGUACGGUAGAGGAGUGUGGAAUUUGUGGUGUAGCGGUGAAAUGCGCAGAUAUCACAAGGAACACCAACGGCGAAGGCAGCACUCUGGGCCGGUACUGACGCUGAGGAGCGAAAGCGUGGGGAGCAAACAGGAUUAGAUACCCUGGUAGUCCACGCCGUAAACGUUGGGCACUAGGUGUGGGGAGGAAUCAACCCUUUCCGUGCCGUAGCUAACGCAUUAAGUGCCCCGCCUGGGGAGUACGGCCGCAAGGCUAAAACUCAAAGGAAUUGACGGAAGGGCGA